UUCAAUGUUCCGUGUUCCGUGUUCCAUGUUUAUUACGAAAAUGUGUGCUGUCCUCUGCUUUAUAUUCCUGCAUUCAUGCUUUACUCUGUUUUAUAUUCCUUAUGGGUGUCGUAUCUAUGUUAUGUCAUCUGCUUCUGUGCUUUACUAUGUGUUUGUGUGAUAUCUCGUGACUUGAGCCGGGGGUCUUUCGGAAACAGCUUUUCUACUUCAUCAGAGGUAGAGGUAUGGACUGCGUACAUCUUACCCCCCCCAGACCCCACUAAGUGGGAAUACACUGGGUUUGUU
rnacentral:lncRNA from 1 species